AGCCUACCAAGGCAAUGACGGGUAGGGGGACCUGAGAGGGUGGCCCCCCACAAUGGAACUGAAACACGGUCCAUACACCUACGGGUGGCAGCAGUAGGGAAUAUUAGAAAUGGGCGAAAGCCUGAUCUAGCAACACCGCGUGUGCGAUGAAGGCCUUCGGGUUGUAAAGCACUUUUUGGAGGGAAUAGGAAGGAAGGUACCUCCAGAAUAAGUCUCGGCUAACUACGUGCCAGCAGCCGCGGUAACACGUAGGAGGCAAACGUUAUCCGGAUUCACUGGGCGUAAAGCGCGUGUAGGUGGUCCUGUAAGUAGGGCGUGAAAGCUCCCGGCUCAACUGGGAGAGGCCGUACUAAACUGCAGAGCUAGAGGAUGGUAGAGGGAGGUGGAAUUCCAGGUGUAGUGGUGAAAUGCGCAGAUAUCUGGAGGAACACCAGUGGCGAAGGCGGCCUCCUGGACCAUUCCUGACACUCAGACGCGAAAGCUAGGGUAGCAAACGGAAUUAGAGACUCCGGUAGUCCUAGCCCUAAACGAUGCAGACUAGGCGUCGGCGGUUUAAUCACCGUCGGUGUCCAAGCUAACGCGAUAAGUCUGCCGCCUGAGGACUACGGCCGCAAGGCUAAAACUCAAAGGAAUUGACGGGUCCCCGCACGAGCAGCGGAGCGUGUGGUUUAAUUCGAUGCUCCGCGAAGAACCUUACCUGGGUUUGACAUAACAGUGGUAGAGAAGUGAAAACGGAUCGACCCUUCGGGGAGCUGUUACAGGUGUUGCAUGCCUGUCGUCAGCUCGUGUCGUGAGAUGUUCGGUUAAGUCCGCUAACGAGCGCAACCCGCGCUGUGUGUUACAAGUGUCACACAGUACCGCCGGUAUUAAGUCGGAGGAAGGUGCGGAUGACGUCAAGUCAGCAUGACCUUUAUAUCCAGGGCUACACACACGCUACAAUGGUCAGAACAAUAGGUUGCCAAGCCGCAAGGCGGAGCCAAUCCUCCAAAUCUGGCCUCAGUUCAGAUUGCAGGCUGCAACUCGCCUGCAUGAAGUCGGAGUUGCUAGUAACCGCAGGUCAGCAUACUGCGGUGAAUACGUUCCCGGGGAUUGUACACAAGGCCCGUCAAG
rnacentral:rRNA from 1 species